AUUGAACGCUGGCGGCAUGCUUUACACAUGCAAGUCGAACGGCAGCGCGGGCUUCGGCCUGGCGGCGAGUGGCGAACGGGUGAGUAAUGCAUCGGAACGUGCCCAGUAGUGGGGGAUGGCCCGGCGAAAGCCGGAUUAAUACCGCAUACGACCUGAGGGUGAAAGCGGGGGACCGAAAGGCCUCGCGCUAUUGGAGCGGCCGAUGUCGGAUUAGCUAGUUGGUGGGGUAAAGGCUUACCAAGGCGACGAUCCGUAGCUGGUCUGAGAGGACGACCAGCCACACUGGGACUGAGACACGGUCCAGACUCCUACGGGAGGCAGCAGUGGGGAAUUUUGGACAAUGGGGGCAACCCUGAUCCAGCCAUGCCGCGUGCGGGAAGAAGGCCUUCGGGUUGUAAACCGCUUUUGUUCGGGAAGAAAUCCUCUGGGCUAAUACCCCGGGGGGAUGACGGUACCGGAAGAAUAAGCACCGGCUAACUACGUG
rnacentral:rRNA from 1 species